ACAAAUGAGAAGAAGACUCGAGGGGAUUGAUGAGCUGAGGCCAGGCUGGACCACUAGAACGCAGCAAGAGCAGCUGAGCCCAGUGCUCUUGUCUCUGUUACGUACUGCCUCACAUUUCUUUCUGUUGAUUGUUGUCUGCGUGGAAAGUCAGAGUUGGGAGCAGGGGCUAUGAAGUUGGUGAGCCCUAAAUCACAUUUCCUCCUUUGUAAGAGAGUUGUGCACCCAGGGCACAGUCAAGACAGAAACUGAGGGUAGAAACAGAAGGGGUGUGGCAGCUAAGAUCAUCUUGUUCUCUCAGGAAAGCCUAUGGGAGACUUCUGAUCCCAUUUCGUAGGCAGAAUAGGGGGUCACCUAUUAUGUUAUCAUCUAGCCUCAAGAAAGGAACCAUUAAGCUGUAGCCUCUGUAGUUGGAGGUAGGAGUGAGAAGGGGGUGGGACCUGGCUCUCUGGGUCAAUUAGCAUAGUCUGUCUCAGGUAGAUCCUGAAUCCCAGGGAGCUGUAGACGUGGUGCAGGUCAUGGCUAGCCUCAUGCCUCUGGUCACCCUAUCCAGACAAGUUGAGUGGCAGUAGUGGAGAUGGUCUGAUGUCUCAGCCUGGUGGGACUCACUGCCGACUCCCCAGGCCCACCAUUGGAGUAAUGGCUGUCUUUCUUUGAGAGCAUAUAGGUGGAGCGUAAGGGAGAGGGAGAUGGAUGAGGUCAUACUAUUGCAAUCACCUGGAAAAAAAUACACAAACUUCCAAAACUGCAAGAUGCUUUCUACUGCCACCAGACAUCCUUUAGAGGUUUUCCUACAGAUUAAUAACCAGGUAAGGCUGCCGAACGUGGGAGGCCUGUAACCAUACGCCUUGGGAGGCUGAAGCAGGAGGAUGAUAAGUUCAAGGCCUUCCUGGGCUAUAGAGGAAGUUUAGGGCCAGCCUGGGCAAUUUAGUGAGACAAUCCCUCAAAAUAAAAAAGUAAAAAAGAGCUGGGAUAUGAUAGUUUAAUGACAGAGUUCUUGCUGGCACACAGGAGUCCCAAGGUUCAAUGUCCAGUACUGCAAAUCAAAGACCCAGGCCAAAUUCCCUGAGUCUCCGUGUCUUAGUUCUGCCAGGGCUGUCCCCAGGGUGCUGUCCUAGAAGGGUUUGUGCUCACAGGAUCACCUCAUAGAGCACAGAUGUGCAGUGACAGCUGGCCCCUCGCUGGCCCAGAACUUGUCUCAGGGUCAUGCUUUCUCUUUCUACCAACCUCUCGAAGAUUCAGAUCUAUGCAUUUUACUGAGGAAGGAGCCCAGGGCCUGGGCACUGACAUCAAAACCAGGGGAAUUCAAGGCAAGAACGGGAUGCUCUAUUGUCCCUGCCAGAUCACCCCCUGCAUUGUGUCUUUCAUUUGGUUUUUUCCCUUCUGGGCAGGCUGGGUUUGUGUUACAAAGACUCUGCCUGGCCCAUUGUUUGUGCAGGGUUGCUUUCCCAGAGCAGGGUGGGCGUUUGAUGGAUUUAUUCAAUAAGAGCGAGUAAGGACAAACUGGAACCAGGAAGCCACCACUCAACUAUUUGUGGACUUUAGAGGAGGUUUGAAGAAUUCACAACUGAACAGUUUUUACAAAGGCAUUUUGAGCCUUUCACUUUCUCGUGUGAACAUUUCUGUAUUGUCAUCGUGACAGAAAGUGUAGACUUCAGUGUAGAAGUCUGGUUGCCAGCUAUGCCCAGAGGGAUUUUGCUGACUAAAUAUACUGUUCACUUUAAUAUUCAUCCUAGACCUCUGCUGUGUUCUCCUAGGACCCUGACCACCCACCAGGGUUCUUUGAGGACUGGAUGUGUUACAUUCUUGAAGUCAUUAUGGAUCCUCCAGAUCAUGAGGGCGAUAGAUAAGUAAGGUGGCUAACUUUCUGUCUUUUCUACUGAGGAACUUGUUGGCGUCUGACAGAGCAUCUCAGAUUUCUUACAUAAAAUGUGGAAUUGUCAACAGUCAGAUGCAUCAGUGGCCAAGGCUGUGGUGUGCAGUUUCUAUCAGUGUGUACAGGACAUCCUGCCUGGUUUUGGCCUCAAGGUAAGUCGGCAAUAGUUUGGAAGAAGGUGCUAUUCCAUAGAGCUCUGAGAUGGUGUCAUUGGUGGUACAAAAGAAACCACUUCUUGUAGCCGGACAAUGGUAGCUCACACCUUUAGUCCCAGCACUUGGGAGGCAGAGACAGGCGGAUUUCUGAGUUCGAGGCCAGCCUGGUCUACAGAGUGAGUUCCAGGUCAGCCAGGGCUACACAGAGAAACCCUGUCUUGAAAAA
ensembl:processed_transcript 1700108F19Rik RIKEN cDNA 1700108F19 gene